rnacentral:lncRNA from 1 species
CCCGCCGGGAGGAACGCCGGCCCCGCCGGUUUCCAUGGCAAUGGUGCGGGAACGGUGCCGGCUGCCUGCCGAUGAGGCGGCGGGGGCUGCGGCGGCGGGCCGGGGGGGGUCCCCCGCCUCGCCCGGCCCACGGGGUGCUGGCGGCAGGGUCCCGCCGGGCCCCGCGGCCCCCCCGGGCACGGCUCCCCCCCGGCGCAGGGGGUUGGGGGUCCCUCUGCGGGGAGCCCCGCGCGUUUCCCCGUCCCCUCCGGCCCUGGGAUCGCCUGGUGUCCCGCUGGUGCUGCCCCGCAGGGCCGAGCACCGUCGCGACCCGCUGCCGCAAACGCGAGCCUGGGCCCUGCCAGCCCGCGGAGGGGCUGCGGUGGGGAACUGCUGCUAUCACCAGACCUCCUGGGCAGCUCUAGGCUUCUCCUGCUCACCAGUGCCAGACCCGCGUGGCUCCAUGGUGCUCCCAGGACCUGCUGCCCUGGAGUAUCAGGGGCCAGGGCCAAGCCAGGCACCCAUUUUCUCCUCCCGCAGUCCUACGGAAGACCCCAGUCAGGCCCCUGAGGACAGCCCCAGUGAGACCAGGACACGUGGUGACACCAAUGGGAGCCCACUCCCAGCUGAGACCCUCGGCUUCUGCUUCCCACCUCCCUCGACCCAUCCCAGGGCCACCAGGGCUGGGGGUUUGCUCCGGCACGUCCUGGUGCAGAUCUGGGGAGGAGACGUGAACAUCUGUGAUGCCCAUGCUUGCAAGGACUUCCUGGGCACUGUUGCAUGGGAAAUGUGCAUUUGUAGGACACAGCAUCGUGCUGGGGGUGCGUUCGUCCCUGGGCAUGCACGAGCACAGUGUGGCAGGGGCCACCAGGCGCAGGAACCAGCUAAAAGCAGCCCCACAGGGAAGGGGAUGAGCUCAGCUGGGUGCAGGGCACGGUGCAGCCCCCCACAGAUGUGGUGGCUCGUGUUCUGCAGUGUGGAAAUCCCACAGCUUGCACCGAGGCUGGUGCAUGUGGGACUGGGGCAUUUGUGUGGGUCUGAAGACAGUGGGGGGAGCCUUCCACUGCCCUCAAGGCCCCGUUGGGCUGGGGGCUGCACAGCCUCCCCGCGGCCACAGCAUUGA